GUAUUCACCUUUACAGCACAUAUACUAAAAAAAUUGGAGAGAUACAGAAAAGAUUAGUGUGGUCCAUGCAAGGAUGACAUGCAAAUCUGUGAAACCGUCCAUAAAAAAUAAAAGUUUUUU
rnacentral:snRNA from 1 species